rnacentral:rRNA from 1 species
UACGUAGGGGGCAAGCGUUGUCCGGAAUUAUUGGGCGUAAAGAGCGCGUAGGCGGUCCGAUAAGUCGGCUGUGAAAGUCAGGGGCUCAACCCUUGAAAGCCGGCCGAUACUGUCGGACUAGAGUCCGGAAGAGGCGAGUGGAAUUCCUGGUGUAGCGGUGAAAUGCGCAGAUAUCAGGAGGAACACCAAUUGCGAAGGCAGCUCGCUGGGACGUUACUGACGCUGAGACGCGAAAGCAUGGGGAGCGAACAGG